rnacentral:rRNA from 1 species
UGCGGAAGGAUCAUUACAAGUGAAGUGUUCGCGCCCCUCGGGGCCGGGCGCCCACCCACCCGUGUCUACAUACUCUUGUUGCUUUGGCAGGUCGUGCUCACGCACCGCGGGCUCUGCUCGCGCGCACCUGCCAGAGGACCAAACUCUGAAUGUUAGUGAUGUCUGAGUACUAUAUAAUAGUUAAAACUUUCAACAACGGAUCUCUUGGUUCUGGCAUCGAUGAAGAACGCAGCGAAAUGCGAUAAGUAAUGUGAAUUGCAGAAUUCAGUGAAUCAUCGAAUCUUUGAACGCACAUUGCGCCCGGUGGUAUUCCGCCGGGCAUGCCUGUUCGAGCGUCAUUAUAACCAAUCAUGCCUGGCAUGGUGUUGGGGCACGCGGUCUCGCGGCCCUCAAAAUCAGUGGCGGUGCCGGUAGGCUCUAAGCGUAGUAAUUCUUCUCGCUACAGGGUCCUGCGGGUGGCUUGCCAGAACCCCCCAUUUU